GCUUCCGUAGGUGAACCUGCGGAAGGAUCAUUACCGAGUGUAGGGUUCCUAGCGAGCCCAACCUCCCACCCGUGUUUACUGUACCUUAGUUGCUUCGGCGGGCCCGCCAUUCAUGGCCGCCGGGGGCUCUCAGCCCCGGGCCCGCGCCCGCCGGAGACACCACGAACUCUGUCUGAUCUAGUGAAGUCUGAGUUGAUUGUAUCGCAAUCAGUUAAAACUUUCAACAAUGGAUCUCUUGGUUCCGGCAUCGAUGAAGAACGCAGCGAAAUGCGAUAACUAGUGUGAAUUGCAGAAUUCCGUGAAUCAUCGAGUCUUUGAACGCACAUUGCGCCCCCUGGUAUUCCGGGGGGCAUGCCUGUCCGAGCGUCAUUGCUGCCCAUCAAGCACGGCUUGUGUGUUGGGUCGUCGUCCCCUCUCCGGGGGGGACGGGCCCCAAAGGCAGCGGCGGCACCGCGUCCGAUCCUCGAGCGUAUGGGGCUUUGUCACCCGCUCUGUAGGCCCGGCCGGCGCUUGCCGAACGCAAAUCAAUCUUUUUCCAGGUUGACCUCGGAUCAGGUAGGGAUACCCGCUGAACUUAAGCAUAUCAAUAAGCGGAG
rnacentral:rRNA from 1 species